rnacentral:rRNA from 1 species
UACAGAGGGUGCGAGCGUUGUCCGGAAUCACUGGGCGUAAAGGGCGCGUAGGUGGCCUGAUAAGUAGGGGGGUGAAAUCCUGCGGCUUAACCGCAGGGCUGCCUUCUAAACUGUCGGGCUCGAGCACAGUAGAGGCAGGUGGAAUUCCCGGUGUAGCGGUGGAAUGCGUAGAGAUCGGGAAGAACAUCAGUGGCGAAGGCGGCCUGCUGGGCUGUUGCUGACGCUGAGGCGCGACAGCGUGGGGGAGCAAACAGGG